CAAAACAGAAUAUCCUAACCGUAGACAGCUGGCGCGUCCUAUGUACGCUUAAUAUUCGCCCGCCGAGGAUUUUUGGCAAGUGACUUUGUGUCCUUGCGUGAACCCCUCACGUCUACGGUGUGAGGGGUUUCUUAUAUGCUUU
rfam:Listeriaceae bacterium FSL A5-0281 contig000030, whole genome shotgun sequence.